AUUGAACGCUGGCGGCAGGCUUAACACAUGCAAGUCGAACGAGUGGCGGACGGGUGAGUCAUGCUUGGGAAUCUAGCUCAUGGAGGGGGAUAACUACGGGAACCUGUAGCAAAUACCGCGUACCAUAGGAUGUGCCCAAGUGGGAUUAGGUAGUUGUGGAGGUAAAGGCUCACCAGGCCGACGAUCUCUAGCUGGUCUGAGAGGAUGACCAGCCACAUUGGAACUGAUACACGGCCCAGACUCCGACGGGAGGCAGCAGAGGGGAAUAUUGCGCAAUGGGGGCAACCCUGACGCGGCCAUGCCGCGGGAAUGAAGAAGGCCUUCGGGUUGUAAAGUUCUUUCAGCGGGGAGGCGUUACCCACAGAAGAAGCACCGGCUAACUCCGUGCCAGCAGCCGCGGUAAUUC
rnacentral:rRNA from 1 species